UUUAUUUAUUUACAGUAAGAGUAUCUCUUUAUUGAUCAUGUAAAGUAGUACUUCAAAAGAAGAGGUACAAUGCAACCCAAACCGAGCUAGGACUAGAGCAGUUCAUGAGCUACACAAUUCGCUUCACGAUGACAUUGUGCUUGUUAAUGUUAACAAAUGUACAGUUUUUUCUUCUGAAAUUGUGCAACGUAUAUACAUGGUUACAUGAACGGCGUAGGGGGGUCACUAAUGGGAUCGGAUCCUCCGAUCCGUCGCCUCCUCAGUCGUUGGACCCCCUUUAAAAGUUGAAUCUCAUCCAUUCCAUUGUCGCAGUAUAAAAAAUCCCACACAUGCAACAUAUUUUGUUGCAACAUUGCUCCGUAAACUCAUGCAACAUUAAAAAUUCCACACGCCGAAAUUGCAGUAUCGAAACAUAUCCCUGCACAUCACAUUAUGAAUCACUGCAACAUAAUAAUGACCAUGUGUGCACGUAUCAAAACAAAUACAUGCUUAUAACACGUCGAAACACCGAGCGCAGCAUCAAGAAAUAAUAAUUCAAAUACAUUAACCUCUUCUCCUCCGGUGCCCACGCCUCCCGCUUGUGCGGUUGCGCCAUGGUGUCUAGUGGACGUCGUGGUCGCGGGGGCGAUGCGGCUUCUGUUGCUACGGCGGAGGCCGUGCCCGGCGGGCAGGGUGUCGCAGUGACCAUGCGGAUGUUGUUGCUUAAAAUUCUAAUUAUACGGGUUUUUAACAUGCAGCCAUUAAACAACAAUAUGUUAGAAUACAAAAAAACCACAUUAUUUUGAUUUUAUUUCUAGUUCGGUCAAAUUGAAGUAUUACACAAUAAUAAUUUUAUAUUGUGGUAGAUUCUCUUGAGGGAAUUAUAUUACAGAUGUUCUUCUAAAAAAUAACUCGCUUCCAUUCUGCAAACUUAGUCAAAAGGUAAUUUGAUCCAAUUCCAAGAGAAAUGGAGAGGGAUCCCUGACUUCAGACUUAAAAGCCAGUGACUUGACUCACCUGACAUGUGGACCCAGCCCUGGCCCAACAGGUAAAGGCCUUCAUACGGCCUCGUAUCAACACAUUCCUCCUAUGGUCCCAGUCUCUUAUGCUAAAAAAAAACAAAAUCCUGUGGUCCCAGUCUCCGGCGGCGGCCGCAAGUCGCCGUCAUCUGUGGUUUCUCGUCGCCCUGGCUCAUCGCGGCGCGGAGGUUGCCCCUUUCCCUCAACGCCCCACUGCCACCCCCGCGCAGCUGCUCUUCUCAUCGCUCCCGAUCGCCGCAUUGUCCGUUAGGUUCCUGAUGGCAGGAAUUCUGCCCCCUUACACUCUUUGCCGGUGCCGAACAGCAAUACCUUAUUGUGAUAGAUGAUAUAUGGAGCAUGCAAGUGUGGGAUAUAGUUAGAUGUGCUUUUCUAGAUAACAACAAUGGAAGCAGAGUCAUAACAACUACACGAAUUGAACAAGUAGCGGCAGCAUGUUGCUCUUCUCGCCAUGACCAUGUCUAUAAGAUGAAACCCCUUAAUGAUCUUGACUCACGAAGAUUAUUCUUCCAACGGGUAUUUGGUUCUGAGGAUGCUUGCCCUGAGCAAUACAAAAUUGUUUCGCAGAAUAUUUUAAAGAAAUGUGGAGGAGUGCCACUAGUGAUAUUAAGCAUUGCUAGCCUUUUGGCUAGUCAAGAAUGCAUGCAUAAGGAAAACUGGGAAAGCAUACAAAAAUCACUUGUUUCGGAAUUAGAAACUAGUCCUAGUCUUGGAUGGAUGCGGCAUGUGCUAAACCUUAGUUAUAAUGACUUGCCUCAUUCCCUGAAGACAUGCUUUCUGUAUCUUGGUAUAUAUCCUGAGGAUUACAAAAUUGAGAAGAUUGAUUUGCUAAGACGAUGGAUAGCCGAGGGAUUUGUUAGUCAUAAACAUGGUCUGAGCCCAGAGGAAGUUGCUGAGAGCUACUAUAAUGAACUCAUUAAUAGAAGUCUGAUCCAGCCUGCUGUAUUUGAGUACUGUGAGCUAACAUGUUGUCGGUUGCAUGAUGUAAUGCUUGAUUUUAUUGUGUCAAAGUCCAUAGAGGAAAACUUCAUCACUAUAAUGGAUGAGCGACACAGUACAAAAGGAGCUUUUGAGGUUCGUCGGCUAUGUCUCCAGUAUGGAAAUGCAAAUUUGGUCCCUAAAUGUAUGAGCCUCUCACAGAUUCGCUCAUUUACGGUACUAGGAUAUUCUGGUUACAUUCCUCCUCUUUCAAGGUUUGAACACUUGCGAGUUCUGGAUCUAGAUAUGAAUGACUUCAAUGGGAUUGAGUGUGUUGAUUUGUCAGCUAUAUGUAAACUAUUCCAGUUGAGAUAUUUGAGAGCCAAUGGCCACCAACUCAAACUGCCGAAGCAAAUUGGGGAACUAAAGAAUUUGGAGACACUGGAUAUUAGGGACACAGUUGUGCAUAGUAUUCCAUCAGAUCUUUCUGAACUGAGGUCGUUGAGACAUCUAAAUGUUCCUAUUGAUGCACAGCUUCCCGGUGGAAUAGGCAAAUUGAGUGCCCUCCGUACUUUGGGGUUCUUCAAUCUUGCAGAGAACUCCAUGGAUAAUAUCCAGGAUCUUGGCCAGCUGACCGAUCUAAGGGAGCUUGAUCUUAUUCUGACAAAGCAUGUUGUGAAGCACAUGGCCCAACGGAAAAACUUAAGCUCAGCUUUCUCAUUGAUUCCUUGGGGAAACUCAUCCAUCUCCGCUCUCUUCAUGUCUCCACUAUUGAUGCUAAUAAACUGGAAAGUCCUACCUGUGACUUUUUGAGCUAUUGGUUCCCUCCUCCAUGCAACCUUCAGAAGCUUAGCCUGUCUUUCUGUACAGUCUCCAAGGUUCCACACUGGAUUUCACAACUUGAUAAGUUAACAAGCUUGAAAAUUAGAGUCAAGGAGCUCCAGAGAGAUGCUGUCAAACUGCUUGGGGGUUUACCCUGCCUUGUCUACUUUGACUUGAGUGUUAGUAAAGACCCCAAACAAGAUCUCAUCUUCUGUAACAAUGCAUAUCCAAGCCUGAGGGAAUUUGGCUUAGCAUAUACUUUCUCAAGUGUCACAUUUGAGACAAGGACAAUGCCGAAGCUUCAAGUUCUGCAUCUUGCAUUCUAUAUGCGCAGACAAGAGCAAGAAGGCAGCUCACUCACUGGCGUUGAGCACCUGCUAAACCUUGAGCAGCUUACGGCUCACAUAUAUAGCCAUGGUGCCAUCGGAGUUUCAUUUAGGGAUGCUAUCUUAAGGCAUCCCAGGAGUCGCACCUUCAAUAUACGUUUCCCAAGAUGUUAAAUCAAACUACCAAGUGUUCCAGUAAAAGCAAGCAAAAGAAAUUCUGACUGGGAGAAGGUGCACGUGAUUAUAACGAGAUGGAAGGGUGACAUGGCAUCGAGGAUUAAUUGGAUUUUCAAUUAUGUAAUUACACAAGGAGAUUAGAUAUCGGCACAAGAUACAGAAAACCUGUGAAAUCCUGAGGGUUAUUGUUUCUAUGAUGAUUUCUGAUGGGUACACUCUGUGCAACUAAAGAGGAAGACCUCUAUAUGUGUUGCUUACUUGCCGUGCUUUAUUUUUCAGGGGUAAAGCUAGAACACACUAUCUCAAUUGGUUAUUUGUGUGUAGUAUCUGUCCAACUUCUGAAGCUGUUUGCAUGUGUACGCGCGUUGAGGGACUGGACAUCUUGUUUAAAUGGAAUAUAAAAACGCUGAACAUUGUAUUUCUUUUGGUCUAUCUGUUGUUGCGAAUAUCUUGGUAUUUGUGAAUAAAUUUGCUGCUUAUGGGCAGGGGAUACAAUAGAUUCAGCAGCAAGGCCCUGCAAGGAAGCACAUCAAGGCCCUGUGUUGAUGAUGAUCCCCUUCAAGAACAAGCACAACCAUGCUUAGUUGCUGGACGAGUCAGUACAAUUCACAAGUAAUGUUAGAAACAU